rnacentral:rRNA from 1 species
AGAGUUUGAUCAUGGCUCAGGACGAACGCUGGCGGCGUGCCUAAUACAUGCAAGUCGAGCGAACCAUUAAAAGCUUAGCUUUUGUGGUUAGCGGCGGACGGGUGAGUAACACGUGGGCAACCUGCCUGUAAGACCGGGAUAACUCGCGGAAACGUGAGCUAAUACCGGAUAAUUUCUUUCCUUGCAUAAGGGAAGACUGAAAGACGGCUUUUGCUGUCACUUACAGAUGGGCCCGCGGCGCAUUAGCUAGUUGGUGAGGUAACGGCUCACCAAGGCGACGAUGCGUAGCCGACCUGAGAGGGUGAUCGGCCACACUGGGACUGAGACACGGCCCAGACUCCUACGGGAGGCAGCAGUAGGGAAUCUUCCGCAAUGGACGAAAGUCUGACGGAGCAACGCCGCGUGAGUGAUGAAGGUCUUCGGAUCGUAAAACUCUGUUGUCAGGGAAGAACAAGUACCGGAGUAACUGCCGGUACCUUGACGGUACCUGACCAGAAAGCCACGGCUAACUACGUGCCAGCAGCCGCGGUAAUACGUAGGUGGCAAGCGUUGUCCGGAAUUAUUGGGCGUAAAGCGCGCGCAGGCGGUCUUUUAAGUCUGAUGUGAAAGCCCCCGGCUCAACCGGGGAGGGUCAUUGGAAACUGGGAGACUUGAGUGCAGAAGAGAAGAGUGGAAUUCCACGUGUAGCGGUGAAAUGCGUAGAGAUGUGGAGGAACACCAGUGGCGAAGGCGACUCUUUGGUCUGUAACUGACGCUGAGGCGCGAAAGCGUGGGGAGCGAACAGGAUUAGAUACCCUGGUAGUCCACGCCGUAACGAUGAGUGCUAAGUGUUAGAGGGUUUCCGCCCUUUAGUGCUGCAGCAAACGCAUUAAGCACUCCGCCU